rnacentral:rRNA from 1 species
UACGUAGGGUGCGAGCGUUGUCCGGAAUUACUGGGCGUAAAGCGUGCGCAGGCGGUUCGUUGUGUCGGUGGUGAAAUCCCCGGGCUUAACCUGGGAAUGGCCAUGGAAACUGGCGAACUGGAGUGCGGCAGAGGGGGGUGGAAUUCCGCGUGUAGCAGUGAAAUGCGUAGAGAUGCGGAGGAACACCGAUGGCGAAGGCAGCCCCCUGGGCUAGCACUGACGCUCAGGCACGAAAGCGUGGGGAGCAAACAGG